rnacentral:pre_miRNA from 1 species
CGAUGAUGAUUGUGAUGAUGAUGAUGAUGAUGACGAUGGUGGUGGUGAUGAUCACGAUCAUGACGAUGAUGAUGAUGUUUAGAUGAAUCAUUAUCAUUAUCAUUAUCAUUAUUAUUAUCAUCAUCAUCAUCAUCAUCCAUA